rnacentral:misc_RNA from 1 species
GAUGAAGAACGCAGCGAAAUGCGAUACGUAAUGUGAAUUGCAAAUUCAGUGAAUCAUCGAGUCUUUGAACGCACAUUGCGCCCCCUGGUAUUCCGGGGGGCAUGCCUGUCCGAGCGUCAUUGCUGCCCUCAAGCACGGCUUGUGUGUUGGGCCCCGUCCUCCGAUCCCGGGGGACGGGCCCGAAAGGCAGCGGCGGCACCGCGUCCGGUCCUCGAGCGUAUGGGGCUUUGUCACCCGCUCUGUAGGCCCGGCCGGCGCUUGCCGAUCAACCCAAAUUUUUAUCCAGGUUGACCUCGGAUCAGGUAGGGAUACUCGCUGAACUUAAGCAUAUCAAUAAGCGGAGGA